CCUACGGGGUGCAGCAGUCGAGAAUCAUUCACAAUGGGGGAAACCCUGAUGGUGCGACGCCGCGUGGGGGAAUGAAGGUCUUCGGAUUGUAAACCCCUGUCAUGUGGGAGCAAAUUAAAAAGAUAGUACCACAAGAGGAAGAGACGGCUAACUCUGUGCCAGCAGCCGCGGUAAUACAGAGGUCUCAAGCGUUGUUCGGAAUCACUGGGCGUAAAGCGUGCGUAGGCGGUUUCGUAAGUCGUGGGUGAAAGGCGCGGGCUCAACCCGCGGACGGCACAUGAUACUGCGAGACUAGAGUAAGGGAGGGGGAACCGGAAUUCUCGGUGGAGCAGUGAAAUGCGUAGAUAUCGAGAGGAACACUCGUGGCGAAGGCGGGUUCCUGGACAUUAACUGCCGCUGAGGCACGAAGGCCAGGGGAGCGAAAGGGAUUAGAUACCCUGUAGUC
rnacentral:rRNA from 1 species